CGAUCUGUAGCUGGUCUGAGAGGACUACCUGCCACACUGGGACUGAGACACGGCCCAGACUCCUUCGUGAGGCAUCAGUGUGUAAUUUUUUUUAAUGGGCGCCAGCCUGAUCCUUCCAUGCCGCGUGCAGGAUGAAGGCCUUCGGGUUGUAAACUGCUUUUGUACGGAACGAGAAAGCCUUCUCUAAUAAAGGGGGUGAAUGACCGUACCGUAUAAAUAACCACCGGCUAACUACGUGCCAGCAGCCGCGGUAAUACGUAGGGUGCAAGCGUUAAUCGGAAUUACUGGGCGUAAAGCGUGCGCUGGCGGUUAUGUAAUACAGAGGUGAAAUCCCCGGGCUCAACCUGGGAACUGCCUUUGUGACUGCAUAGCUGGAGUGCGGCAGAGGGGGAUGGAAUUCCGCGUGUAGCAGUGAAAUGCGUAGAUAUGCGGAGGAACACCGAUGGCGAAGGCAAUCCCCUGGGCCUGCACUGACGCUCGUGCACGAAAGCGUGGGGAGCAAACAGGAUUAGAUACCCUGGUAGUCCACGCCCUAAACGAUGUCAACUGGUUGUUGGGUCUUCACUGACUCAGUAACGAAGCUAACGCGUGAAGUUGACCGCCUGGGGAGUACGGCCGCAAGGUUAAAACUCAAAGGAAUUGACGGGG
rnacentral:rRNA from 1 species